UUUCUGUUUGCAUUUUAGGCUCUCGCUGUACGUGUUCACAGUGGACCUUGAUUUAUUGUAUUUCAAUUAAGGCACGCGGUGAAUGCCAACAGCACAGCCAUUUACACUUCAGCAAAUA
rnacentral:pre_miRNA from 8 species